rnacentral:ribozyme from 14 species
AAAUUCAUUUACAAAGAGGCACAAAGAAAGAAAUCAAAAGAAAAAAAAGAAAAAAACAAAAAAAGCAGA